AAAAAAGAGUAAGAGUUUAGAGUUCUAAGGGGGAUACAAAAGUGUUAAGUCUAGUAAAGGGUUUGGAAUUCAAAGAAGUUAGGCAUUGUGAUUCAAAGAAAAGGGUAAAUCGCCCUAUGUGCUAAGAUUAGAAGAAAAGCCUUAAGUUUGUCAAAGUAUAAAACCGAACGCGCUAGACUCUUAAAUCGUUUCAAAGAGAACCCCUUAGAACUUGAACGAAAAAGAGAGAAAGAAUGAGAAAAAGGGUAGAGUUAGGACAUCUAUGGGACUGGGAUCAUCUUCUGAGCUAUCAUACUAUAUCAUUGGGUAGAUGGGAGUCUGUUCUUGUAUGUGUCCAUUGACUUUUACCUUUAGCAUUCUACUGAAGCUCAAUCUUUUCUCUGAGAGUCCCCUGUUACUCGACCAAACCAUUAGAGGGACCAUUUUUGUCUCUUAGCCUAAGCCCGAAAUCAAGUGAGUUCAUAACUGAUAAUAGGUUUUUAACAUCAAUUAAUCCUAAAGCACUAUUAUGUCGUUGUAGUACUGAAGGUUGUCAAUCCAAAUGAGUGUGAUGCUAACAAUCAAGAUGUGAUCAGAAGUCACUAAGUCAAGCCAAGCAAUAACAGGUUUUGGUGUGUUCUAGCAGUCCUAAGUGAACAUGCAGAAAACAGAAAAUCAAACAUAAACAGUAAAACACUCGACCAAUACUGCUCUUUGCAGAGCACUGGGUGAGGUCGAGUGACAGGUCGAGUAACAGACAGAAAGUAUAACACAGAUACUCGACUGCACAGUCUGUUGCUAGACAACUGGGUGGUCGAGUAUGAGGUCGAGUAACAAAAAAGAAUUGCAGAAAUUAAGCAAAAGAUGACAAGAUGCAGUAAACAACAGUAGAGUAAACAAAGAAUUCAAUCAGAUAAAGUAUUCCCGAGGUUGGGGUAAUUGAGUAGUUUCGUUUCCUCAGUUUACAGGUGAUUGACAUGCUCAAUAAAUUAUCCCUAGACAACAAGUUCAUUAACCAAAUCUAAGUGCCACCGCAACAGAGACCCUCAAGUUAAUCUAGUCCCAGACUCAAUCACACUACAAGAAAACAGAUAAAAAACGACAACGAAAUGCGAUAACUUGUGUAGUCGUUUUAUUUUGCGACAACUAGGCGACGUUGUUACGACUAACGUAUGACAACAUGAAAAUUAGUCGUGAAGUAGUCGUCCACUUACGACUAAAUAAGUUAAUCGGCGAAUAGUCGUAAAUGGACGACUAUUUAACGAUUACAUUUCUGUAGAGAGAAAUUUGUCGUCAAAUAUUCGGUAAAUGACGACAAACUUUCCGACGACUUUAGUUAGUCGUAUAUUUGACGACAACCAGUCUGUUGUCGCAAAGUAGUUGCAAAGGUGUCGCAUGAAGUUGGUGAAAAACAUGUUUCGCAUUGCUAAGUAGGUACACCUAAUUUGUGAGCGACUACAACAUGUAGUCGUAAAUAAGUCAUAAAAAUUCGUCUAUAUAUUAAAACUUCACGACACUCUUUUUUCACCAACAAAUCAAAACAACAACAACAUCAA
rnacentral:sRNA from 1 species